CACGUAGUUAGCCGGCGCUUCUUCUGCAGGUACCGUCACUCUCGCUUCUUCCCUGCUGAAAGAGGUUUACAACCCGAAGGCCGUCAUCCCUCACGCGGCGUCGCUGCAUCAGGCUUGCGCCCAUUGUGCAAUAUUCCCCACUGCUGCCUCCCGUAGGAGUCUGGGCCGUGUCUCAGUCCCAGUGUGGCCGGUCGCCCUCUCAGGCCGGCUACCCGUCGUCGCCUUGGUGAGCCAUUACCUCACCAACAAGCUGAUAGGCCGCGGGCUCAUCCUGCACCGCCGGAGCUUUCGACCCGCCGAGAUGCCUCGGCAGGUCAGUAUCCGGUAUUAGACCCCGUUUCCAGGGCUUGUCCCAGAGUGCAGGGCAGAUUGCCCACGUGUUACUCACCCGUUCGCCACUAAUCCCCACCCGAAGGCGGUUCAUCGUUCGACUUGCAUGUGUUAAGCACGCCGCCAGCGUUCGUCCUGAGCCAGGAUCAACUC
rnacentral:rRNA from 1 species